rnacentral:rRNA from 1 species
GAUUAACGCUGGCGGCGUGCAUAACACAUGCAAGUCGAACGACGAAACUUAGUAGACUUCUUCGGAAAGACACUAAGCGGAUUAGUGGCGAACGGGUGAGUAACGCGUGAGUAACCUGCCUUACACAAGGGGAUAGCCUUUGGAAACGAAGAAUAAUACCCUAUAAAACCAUAAAAGCACAUGCUAGAAUGGUCAAAGUGAUAGCGGUGUAAGAUGGACUUGCGUCUGAUUAGCUAGUUGGUGAGAUAAAAGCUCACCAAGGCAACGAUCAGUAGCCGGCUUGAGAGAGUGUACGGCCACAUUGGGACUGAGACACGGCCCAGACUCCUACGGGAGGCAGCAGUGGGGUAUUUUGCACAAUGGGGGAAACCCUGAUGCAGCGACGCCGCGUGAUUUAGAAGGCCUUCGGGUUGUAAAAAUCUUUUGUAUAGGAAGAAAAUGACAGUACUAUACGAAUAAGGUCCGGCUAAUUACGUG